ACGAACGCUGGCGGCGUGCCUAAUACAUGCAAGUAGAACGCUGAAGGAAGGAGCUUGCUCUUUCUGGAUGAGUUGCGAACGGGUGAGUAACGCGUAGGUAACCUGCCUGGUAGCGGGGGAUAACUAUUGGAAACGAUAGCUAAUACCGCAUAAAAUUGAUUAUUGCAUGAUAGUCAAUUAAAAGGUGCAACUGCACCACUACCAGAUGGACCUGCGUUGUAUUAGCUAGUUGGUGGGGUAACGGCUCACCAAGGCGACGAUACAUAGCCGACCUGAGAGGGUGAUCGGCCACACUGGGACUGAGACACGGCCCAGACUCCUACGGGAGGCAGCAGUAGGGAAUCUUCGGCAAUGGACGGAAGUCUGACCGAGCAACGCCGCGUGAGUGAAGAAGGUUUUCGGAUCGUAAAGCUCUGUUGUAAGAGAAGAACGAGUGUGAGAGUGGAAAGUUCACACUGUGACGGUAUCUUACCAGAAAGGGACGGCUAACUACGUG
rnacentral:rRNA from 1 species